AUGAAAUGGCCUCUUGAUAGGAAGUGCCGUAUGACACUUGUAAUGCAGUUGCCUGUCCAGUCCUUGGCUCUUUCUCCUCUUGACCAUGCCUCCCUCAAAUCCUACCAUAGGUUUGAGUUUCCGGGGUGUUGUUCAAAGGGGAAUUUGAAGUUCAAUGGACUUGGAGUUCAGCUGUGUGUGUGAUUUUAAAUCGGUCACUGAGGGCUCUUUUAACCUGUUGAAAGUUACUCCACUUUCAUUGGUUUUGAAUAUCCUUUCUUUGGCAUUUUGCAUGUUGAUAGGAAUCUGUGGUCAAGAUCACUGUCCAUCCAUGGAGUUGAUUUCUGUGAUCACAGAUAGUGAAUGUUUUCUGUCAUUUGUUAUUUUAGAAUGCUGUUUUCUAUAUGGUCUAGGCAAUGCCAUUUGUUUUAUCUGUUAUGCAACUCGUUAUUGUUGUUAUAUUUGAUAGUCGGCUAUGCCAUGCAACUCUUAUUGUUCAUGUUUUUGUCAUAUCCCAUUAUCUUAUAAGCUACUGGUCUUGUAGCAAACCUAAAGCUUUACAGAGAUAAAAGUAAGUAGGAAUUAGUGGAUUCCCAUUUGCAUGAUGAUGGCUUACCUGGUCAUUGUUAGUUCAGAGAUAAAAAAAACAGUAAAGGUUUUUUAUGAAGGCUUUACAGAGAUAAACCUAAAGCUUUACAGAGAUAAAACCUAAAGGUUUUUUAAGGUUCAGAGAUAAACCUAAAGCUUUACAGUGGUAAAAGCUUUACAGAGAUAAAAAAAACAGUAUUAUGAAGGCUUACCUGGUCAGAGAUAAACCUAAAGCUUUACAGAGAUAAAACCUAAAGGUUUUUUAAGGUUCAGAGAUAAACCUAAAGCUUUACAGUGGUAAAAGCUUUACAGAGAUAAAAAAACAGUAUUAUGAAGGCUUACCUGGUCAUCGUUAGUUCUAUCAAAUGUUGGUUCAACUCUUAUUGCAUGUCUCUGUAACUGAUAUUUUAGUUUACUGUCAUUUGACUAUAAGGGUUGAAAUGUUCAAUUUUUAUUGACAUUAAUACCCUUUAGAACUUUGUCAAAUGAUCACUCUGUUUAAACUCCAAUAAUUUCUUAUCAGAUCAUAGAACUCUUAAUUCUUUCUAUUAUUGGUUUGAGUUCAUUGAUACUUCUGGGAUGAAGAAACUGUAUCCUGCAAGUGACGACAAGAUAGACAGGGACAUCUAACUCUUUACAGAGAAUGAUGACUUGGUCUAUGGGAAUCUCUCUGAUGCAUGAGACUGUUUUCUCCCCUGUCUAUUCUGUAUUUUGUGACUGUUUUUCUUCGAUGGCAUGAUGCUUUUUUGGUGCAUCUAUUCAAUAGGCAAUUGUAAUUGUAUCAUAUAAGUUCUGCCUGUGAUGCACAAAAAGUGCACGUAUUAUCAGAGGUGAUUAUGACUUUUUUUUCUCCUUUUGACCAUGCCUCCCUCAAAUCCUACCAUAGGUUUGAGUUUCCGUGGGCGUGUUCAAAGGUGAAUUUGAAGUUCAAUGGACUUGGAGUUUGGCUGUGUGUGUGAUUUUAAAUGGGUCACUGACGGCUCUUUUAACCUGACCAAACUUAAUCUGCUUUCAUUGGUUUUGAAUAUCCUUUCUUUUCUAAGGUGUGUUUUUUUAACUUUGUGGUCUGAAGCCAUGUCAACAGUAGCAUAUGCAUUGACUGGUGGUGCUAUGAUCGGGCCCAAAUUAAGUCCUGAUUUGGCAUGUUGCAUGUUGAUAGGUAUCUGUGGACAAUCACUGUUCACCCAUGGAGCUGAUUUUGUGAUCGCAGAUAGUGAAAGUUUUCCGUCAUUUGUUAUUUUAGAAUGCUGUUUUUUUUAUAGUCAGGCAAUGCCAUUUGUUUUAUCUGUUAUGCAACUUGUUACUGUUGUUAUAUUUGAUAGCCCGCUAUGCCAUGCAACUCUUAUUGUUCAUGUUUUUGUCAUAUCCCAUUGUCUUAUAAGCUACUGGUCUCGUAGCAAACCUAAAGUUUUAAAGAGCUAAAAGUAAUUAGGAAUUAGUGGAUUACCAUUUGUAGAAAUUAUCCUGCAUGUUUGUAUUUGAUUUGCUGAUAUUCAGGAAUUGGGCUUACCAGGUCAUUGUUAGUUCUAUCAAAUGUUGGUUCAACUCUUAUUGUGUGUAAACUCUUUAGAACUUUGUCAUUAUGAUCACUCUGUGUAAUGUUAAAUUUUUAUUGAGAUUAAAAACCCUUUAGAACUUUGUCAAAUGAUCACUCUGUGUAAACUCCAAUAAUUUCUUAUCAGAUCAUAAGAACUCUUAAUUCUUUCUAUUAUUGGUUUUUGAGUUCAUUGAUACGUCUGGGAUGAGAAACCGUAUCCUGCAAGUGAUGACAAGAUAGACAGGGACUCGGCACUCUUUACAGAGAAUGAUGACUUGGUCUAUGGGAAUCUAUCUGAUGCACAAGAUUGUUUUCUCCCCUUAGUCUAUUAUAUAUUUUUUGACUAUUUUUCUUCUACAGCAUGAUGUUUUUUGGGUGCAUCUAUUCGAUAUGCAAUUGUAAUUGUAUCAUAUAAGUUCUGCCCGUGAUGCACAAAAAAUGCACGUAUUAUCAGAGAUGUUGUGAUGAUAUAUUAGUUGUCACUACCGCUGAGGCAGUCAAUUUGAAGUGAUGCUAUUGCAUCUCUAGUUCAUUACUUCCUUUUUUGUUGGUUUGUUUGUUUGUUGAUCUGAGCUAGUAUGCAUUGAUCAUUUGAAUGAUAACUUGGUUCAUGCAUUGUCUUAACUAUGCAAAAAUUGUUUUUGUAAAACACUGUGACAAUGAAGUAUUAUUUUUGUAUAACACCCUGUCAUCUUUCAAGAUUCCACUACCUUAUAUAUGCGAUGUUCAUUUUAAUGUUCUGUGAAACUUUUGAUUUUAGGAUCUAAUCCACUUUUUAAACUCGUAGUACCUGAUUGGUUCAUGCAAGACUUGUGUCUUGCAUUUUCCUGUGAAUGAUUAGUGCCUAUGAUGGUUUUAAAUAUACUACGAGUGACUACAAUGAUAAGGACUUUAUCUGAGGCACAAUCAUCUGGUUUCACUUAUUUUUAUAGGUUAUUUGUAUUUUAAAUGUUUGUCUUUGUAAUAUGAGUAAUUUAGUUGGUGUUGUAUCUGCAAACGAACUUUCGAUGUGGGUUUUUCGUUCGGGAGCAUGUGGCAGGGUUCCUCAAGUUUUUAGUUUCAAUGCCUAAUUCUUCUGCCAUUAUUCUAGACCAAAUUAGUGUCUUACAGUCAUGCAAAUUAUUUGCAAUCCUUGUUUUAUCAUUUAAAUGUGUUUUAUUAUUUUUCCUUUUUUAUAUUUUUCGUGGAAGGAUUUCAUAGGGCCGCUUAACUUAGUAGGAUGGUUUCUUUGAAUGUUUGAAAUGUUCAUAUUUGUUAUUAUGACAUGAAUUUUUAAUGCUGAUUAUAAAAUUUGGCUCAGAUCUUGGUUAAGUGCCAAUUGCCAAGCACAAUGUCAUCCAGAUUUGGGAUCAACCACUAGGACUUGUUUCAAAGCUGGUGUGUUCACAAAGCAGAGAUUCUGGAGUUAUGUUGGCGCUGCUUUUAUCAAAAGAUUGUCAUAAAUAUCUAAAUUCAUGAUAGUAAUUUAUUUUGCUUUACAGUUUUAUGUUGACAUCUAUUUGUUUAAUGUAUUUUACAGCUAAACGAUCUUUGAAUAAGAAACUUGUGAAUAAAUUUAAAAUUUCUCAAAUAAUAAUUUUACUAAUAAUAUUUAGCUAUCUAUAACAAUAUGAAUGGGUCACACUUAUCCAAGAUGACAAAUGUUUAUAUGUUUUGUGUUUAUCAUCAUAUGAACGCUUAAGACAAAUUUUCUGAUAUAUGGAUUUUUCUAUAAAUUUUGGGUUUUGUGAUGUUAACUUGCAAUAAUAACCAAAAUUUAUCUAAUGCCAAUUGAAAUAUCUCCAUUUAUAUCGUCCGUGGUUUGACAACUGAUGUGUUGAGUUGAGAUUUAAUGUGGUGUUUAUUUUUAUUAGUUGGAAUUGAUAUUGGGAUGUUCAUAUGCAAGGUAUCAUCAUCAGCUGCUAACUUGUGAUCCAGCGUUGGCAUGAGUCAAUUGACAAAGUCAACCCAAAAGUUGAUUGAAGCUGAUAUUUAAGGAAAAUAAUGUCGGUAUAAUAGCAUUAUAGGUAUAUGUACUCUAUGGGGAGUAUGAGGUGAGAUCUUUGUACAUUGUAUCUAUCCUUAUAUAAAUGCACGUCAUUACAUCUUAACAUUUAAAUAUUCCACUUGAUUAUUACCAUUUUUAAUUUCUUAGCCAGGUAAAUAGAUAUAACAUGCCAAAUAACAACCCUUCUCAUGUUUGUGAAAG
rnacentral:lncRNA from 1 species